GAUCAUGAAAGGAAGUAUAUUUACAUCAGCUACAAGCCAUGUUUAAGGGAGCUAGGGAUGGCUGCCUGGCCCUUAUUGCCUUUUUAAUUUUUUUUAAGAAGGUAGUGUUUUAAUUAGAGAGAAAGUAAAGUAAAAUGAGGGAAAUUGUGUAAUUCAAGUGCCUCUGGAACUCUACAAGGCAGUUGAAAAUCCCAAGGUUAAAAGUUGAAUGUGGACCUUCAGGAUUGUGAACUGGAGAAUGAGGAAUUGGGGGGACAGAGACUGAGAGAAGAAUUUUGAAUGCAGACUAAGGGCAGUAUCUAUGUAAAUAGAAUUGUCCCCACUCUCCACUGCCUAUUCAAAUCCACAGAGAAAAGAUUUGGCUGGAACUAGUAGAACCGACAUCAGCUAAAGGACAAACAAGGUUUAAUUCCCACCCUUCCCCCCCUUGUCCAUCUCCAACUCUGCAGCUGGCCAGCAUUUCUAUAAUUUCUUUGUUUGAGUUAUUCAUAAUUUCUGGUUUUCACUGUAAAUUAUGACCUGUCAUAACUGGUUGAUGAUUUGAGUGCCUCGCUCUUUAUAACUAGAAAGGCUUUGAAGGCUAAUAGGAGUGGGAGUGGGGGUGGGAGUGGGGACUGGA